AGUGAACGCUGGCGGCAGGCCUAACACAUGCAAGUCGAACGGCAGCACAGUAAGAGCUUGCUCUUACGGGUGGCGAGUGGCGGACGGGUGAGGAAUACAUCGGAAUCUACUUUUUCGUGGGGGAUAACGUAGGGAAACUUACGCUAAUACCGCAUACGACCUACGGGUGAAAGCAGGGGAUCUUCGGACCUUGCGCGAUUGAAUGAGCCGAUGUCGGAUUAGCUAGUUGGCGGGGUAAAGGCCCACCAAGGCGACGAUCCGUAGCUGGUCUGAGAGGAUGAUCAGCCACACUGGAACUGAGACACGGUCCAGACUCCAACGGGAGGCAGCAGUGGGGAAUAUUGGACAAUGGGCGAAAGCCUGAUCCAGCAAUGCCGCGUGGGUGAAGAAGGCCUUCGGGUUGUAAAGCCCUUUUGUUGGGAAAGAAAAGCAGCAGGUUAAUACCCCGCUGUGAUGACGGUACCCAAAGAAUAAGCACCGGCUAACUUCGUG
rnacentral:rRNA from 1 species